UUUCAAGGGAUGGGAAUCGAACCCACGACCUACCGCUUACCGGGCAGAUGCCAUGACCACUAGGCUACCCUGGA